rnacentral:rRNA from 1 species
AUGAAGACCUUCCUCAUCUUUGCCCUCCUCGCCAUUGCGGCGACAAGUGCCAUUGCACAAAUGGAGACUAGCCACAACCCUGGCUUGGAGAAACCAUCGCAACAACAACCAUUACCACUACAAUAAAUCUUAUGGUACCACCAACAACAACCCAUCCAACAACAACCACAACCAUUUCCACAACAGCCACCAUGUUCACAGCAACAACAACCACCAUUAUCGCAGCUACAACAACCACCAUUUUCACAGCAACAACCACCAUUAUCGCAGCAACAACAACCAGUUCUACCGCAACAACCACCAUUUUUGCAGCAACAACAACCAUUUCCGCAGCAACAACAACCACCUCUACCGCAACAACCACCAUUUUCACAGCAACAACCACCAUUUUCUCAGCAGCAGCAACAACCAGUUCUACCGCAACAACCACCAUUUUCGCAACAACAACAACAACCAAUUCUACCACAACAACCACCAUUUUUGCAACACCAACAACUAGUUCUACCGCAACAACAAUUACCAUAUGUUCAUCCAUCUAUCUUGCAGCAGCUAAACCCAUGCAAGGUAUUCCUCCAGCAGCAUUGCAGCCCUGUGGCAAUGCCACAAAGUCUUGCUAGGUCGCAAAUGUUGUGGCAGAGCAGUUGCCAUGUGAUGCAGCAACAAUGUUGCCAGCAGCUGCCGCGAAUCCCCGAACAAUCACGCUAUGAUGCAAUCCGUGCCAUCAUCUACUCGAUCGUCCUACAAGAACAACAACCUGGUCAGGGUUUCAACCAACCUUAGCAGCAACAACCCCAACAGUCGGUCCAAGGUGUCUCCCAACCCCAACAACAACAGAAGCAACUCGGACAAUGUUCUUUCCAACAACCACAACAACAACAACUCGGUCAAUGGCCUCAACAACAACAGGUACCACAGGGUACCUUAUUGCAGCCACACCAAAUAGCUCAACUUGAGGUGAUGACUUCCAUUGCAUUCCAUACCCUGCCAACGUUGUGCAGUACCAAUGUGCCGGUGUACGGCACCACCACUAGUGUGCCAUUCGGCGUUGGCACCCAAGUUGGUGCCUACUGAUAA